rnacentral:lncRNA from 1 species
UGAGAAUUAGAACCUAACAGUUGUUAGGGUGAUGUUGCUUUUAAGCUUCUGCAUAUUUAGUUUUGGUUUUGUUUAUUUGUGUGUGUAUAGUUUAAAGUAACUCUGAAAAGUCAACAAGUUUAUUUGAUCAAUUAAUCACAUGAGUUCUCAUAUUUGAAAUAGCUGUGCUGUAGUUACCUAUAUUUUCAGGAAGUUUAAUGUAGGGUGGACCACAUGGACAGCUCCUUAGUGGUCAAUGAAAAUAAGGACAUUUUCUUCAGCGUCACUAAUGAUCUGUCACAACAUCAGACGUGAGUCUCCAUAUCCUCCUCUGUAGGUUUUUCUGUGUCCUACCAAGCACACAUCAGUUUUCUCACAUGACAAUCUUUGUGUGGAGUUCACUUCACUGACGGAAGAACGUGGAAAAUAUGUCUUUGUCUUAUAUUCUUCUCAUUUAUGUUGCCGGAGUUGCGGUAAAAGAAAGUUGUGCAGAUUCGGUUCCCACUCCCACUAUUGUAUUUUCCCCUGAUUACAUCAAUGUAGCUACACCUGUUACAGUACGCUGUGAGUCACCAGAAGGCACAGAGUGCAUUUUCUACAGAGAUCACGACCCCAAACCUAUAAGAACAGUGGAUUACAAGCAGGGUGCUUGCCAGUUCAAGUUGUUAUGGAAUGAGUUCAAAAAGUGGAACAAGACUGAAGUAGAUCUCAGCUGUGUAAUUCUACAGAACAGAGAAGAUAAAACGAUCAAAACCUCAAAACCUAGUGAUGCUCGAAGACUUAAUGUGGGUGAUCCAAUUGGAAUGCCCAGUGUUCAUGUGGAGAAGAUCGGGAAUUACCUCAAUCUUCGAUGUGAGUGCAAGGCUGGCACCUCAUGCUACUUUUAUCUGAACAAUGGUGACUCACACUUCAAAAAACUACCCUACAAAGACAAUGUCUGUGUGGGGAGAGUGGCAGAAGAGGAACUGCAGAGGAAGAGGAGCAGUGCUGGAGAGAUCUUCAUCACCUGUGCUGUGGAGCUGUUGGUAGAGGGUGAAGAUACUGUGACAUCACAGCGUAGUGAAUCCCUCGGUAUCACCAUAGAUGUUGUAAAUCCUCCAGGAGCUACUAGUUCCCCAUCAGCGUUCAGUUUAAUCAUAACUGGUCAGGAGGAGACAAGCAGCAAUGUCACAGCCCAAGGAAGAGUUUCUUCAGGUCCAGUGUUCCUCGUCAUCAUCAGUCUGGGUGCUGGUUCCCUUUUCCUGGUUCUGCUAGCUGGGUCUGUGCUGUGUGUUCUCCAACGCAAUUGUGGUGCGUGCUUUCAGAUAGGUUUAGUCAUAACACAUUCUUAUUAUGUUCCAAAUGCUACUUUGAGUUAUUUUCAAAAUUUCUAAAUUAUCUCUAUGCAUAUUUUGAAGGGGUUCAAUGCAGGCCUGUAAAUACUGGGUAAGACUGGUGUAUUCAUUUUAGAUUCACAAUAUAUUUUCUUUAUUCAUGCACAGCUAUAUCUUUCUGACUGUACUGCAUUGUCUCGACAGAAGCCCACCUGAGCAGCAAGACCAAACCCCACCUUGUGUCUAUUCUGUCAUCACAAAGCCGUCUAGGGAUGAGGAAGAGGACAGUAGUCUGCAAUACGCUACUGUGACAUCUACCAGUGACCAAGCUAGUCUUCAAUAUGCAACAGUGACAUCUACCGGUGGCAGGUUUGGGACCUUCAAAGAACUCCUAACCAUGAUCCAAUGAAUGUGCUGCUGGUGCCUUAUGUGGGACAAGGAGAAUCAGACAAACACUUGGAUUACCCAGGAGAAGAAGCACCAGAUCUCAGUAAGCCUGAAGUUUGUGACCCUGACUGAAGUGGUUGAGCUGAGCUGCGAGUCCUCUGCCCUUGUAGAGGGUCAGCAGUGAUUGUUCUAUGUGGAUUCUAAACUCAAGGAGCUUGGUCGCUCAAAUGCCAGCCACAACCAAUGCUCCCUCCCAGUUAAGGGGUCAGAGCUGCUUGGGUGGAAGCCAGAGGGCUGUGGUCAAAAGUCACCAUCCAGUGUCAUUACGAAAAGGACUCACCUCCCAGCAAAAAUGUCACAGUGGUGGUGUGGAACACAAACAUGCUGACUAAGUACAUCAUCGGAUGUAUGGCCCUGAUAGGAUUCAUGAUUCUACCUGCAGUAUUCAUAUUCUACAUCACCUGUCUCCUCUCACUGAAAGCAAAGAGGAACGGACACCUCGUCAUAACAAGAUCGCCCAGUGACCAGACAUUGCCAGGAGACACUACCGUAACAAGAAGGUGAAGAUGAUUGGUGCUAUGCCACCGUGUCCCAUGCUGGUGCUCCUCCAUCCUACUGAGUCAAGUUUGAGCAAGGCCAUGACUAUGCCACAAUGGUCAUAUACUGACCAGCAUGUGCCGACCUGAAAGGACAUGAAAGGACUUCCAC